CCUACGGGUGGCAGCAGUGGGGAAUAUUGCACAAUGGGGGGAACCCUGAUGCAGCAACGCCGCGUGAGUGAGGAAGGCCUUCGGUAUGUAAAGCCCUGUCAGCAGGGAAGAGGAAGGCGGUACCCGACUGAGGAGCCCAGGCUAAGUACCGGCCAGCAGCCGCGGUUAAACGGAGGGUGCCAAGGGUAUCCGGAUUUAAUGGGGGUAAAGGGAGGCCAGACGGGAAAGAAAGUCAGAAGGGAAACCACGUGGCCGAAGCCCGGGAGAGCAUUUGGAACUGUAUGGCUGGAGUGCAGGAGGGGCAGGCGGAAGUCCUAGUGUAGCGGUGAAAUGCGUAGAGAUUAGGAGGAACACCGGUGGCGAAGGCGGCCGGCUGGACUGUGACUGACGCUGAGGCCUGAGAGCGUGGGGAGCAAACAGGAUUAGAUACCCGUGUAGUC
rnacentral:rRNA from 1 species